GACGAACGCUGGCGGCGUGCUUAACACAUGCAAGUCGAGCGGAAAGGCCCUUUCGGGGGUACUCGAGCGGCGAACGGGUGAGUAACACGUGAGUAAUCUGCCCUUGGCUUUGGGAUAACCACCGGAAACGGUGGCUAAUACCGGAUAUGACGGGCUCCGGCAUCGGGGUUCGUGGAAAGUUUUUUCGGCCAGGGAUGUGCUCGCGGCCUAUCAGCUUGUUGGUGGGGUAAUGGCCUACCAAGGCUUCGACGGGUAGCCGGCCUGAGAGGGUGACCGGCCACACUGGGACUGAGACACGGCCCAGACUCCUACGGGAGGCAGCAGUGGGGAAUAUUGGACAAUGGGCGGAAGCCUGAUCCAGCAACGCCGCGUGAGGGAUGACGGCCUCGGUGUAAACCUCUUUCAGUACCGACGAAGCG
rnacentral:rRNA from 1 species